GCACUACUGACGAGUCCCACAACAGGGCGAAACGACUGUCCAGUGC
rnacentral:hammerhead_ribozyme from 1 species